AAUGCACCAAUUUGUAAGUCGCUCUGGCGAAGAGCGUCUGCUAAAUGACGUAAA
rfam:Salmo salar isolate Sally breed double haploid chromosome ssa06, whole genome shotgun sequence.